rnacentral:lncRNA from 1 species
UGAGAUCAUGCUUCAUAAAACACCUGGUUCUUUGUGUAUCUGUCACACAAGGGAUAACCAAUAUGACUAUUUGGUUACAUUUGGCUUUUGUUGCUUAGUUUAUUCUUACAUAGAUGGGCAGCUGGAUGUUAGGGAAAAACAGGGACAGGAAAGAGACUCCAUCCAGUGGCUCUCUGAAGAUUCACCCUUGUUAUCAGUCACUUGGGAUUCUGUUAUCAGAAUUUGGGAUUGCUUGUUAUCACAGCAUUACCUAGUCUACCCUGACUAAUACAAGGGCACUUUGAGAAUCUGAUGGAAGCUCAGGCCACAAGAAAACUGCACAUUCAUGCAAAAUUCAGAACCUUUCAAUUUUAAUGUCUUGAGAUUUCGUUGUGUUUCUAAGAUCCUUGAUGUCCCACAGCCUCCUCUUCUCAGCCUUGGAAUCUGAGGCACCUGGGUUGUAAGUGAUGCUAUGUCAGUGUUCACAAAGGCUCACAAGUCUGCGAAGUGGCCAAGAUGAGCUGACCCUGUCACCAUGGAGCAAGGCCUAUGUGUGCAAAUGAGUCAUGAGCUGAGAGGAAAGAGCUUGAGCCUGAGCUUUUUUUUUUCUUUUCUUUUCUUUUCUUUUUAUGAUGAUUGCUUGAGCCUGAGCUUGUUUGCCAGAUGCUUUCACUAGCCCAAGCUUGUUUUGUGGAUGCUUUCUGCUGCCAGCUACUUUGUAGUCCCUCCUGUGUGACAGCAUCUUGCCAUCAACGGGCUGCAGAAGAAGGGGUGCUUGUUGCUAUUGUGAGCAAACACUGCAUAAACAAUCAGCUCACAUGUGUGUCCCAGAGCGUAUGACCAAUGACCUGGAGAACUCUCAGGCUGUGGGGUGGAGAGAAGGCCAUUCUGAGGUCAACUGAAACCUCACUUGAGGGGCAGUUCCGUAGAUGGGAAUGAGGAGAGAGUCAUGGCCACAGCCACCUGGCCAAGGAGAGAGGCCAUAACUGCCAGACAGAACCAAGGAUGGAGGGACUUCAGCAGCACGAACAAUCCACACUCAGCAUGGGUCACUCUCUGGGACACACAUUUCCCUCUGGCUGAAAGGCUGAGCUGCUCCAGGGCCAACUGUGAGGUCAGACAGCUGCCCAGGGAUGUCUCCAGCCACUCAAGGGAAGAAGAGACCACUCACCUGUAAUUUCAACAGCAACAAAAGACCUGAGGUUCCACCAUCAGAACUUCACGCCCUAAGGAAGAUGCAGCAUUUCCUGUAAAAUGCAAGUGCUCCCAGGCAGAGGUAGCUCCCGAAGCCAUGAUCAGUUAUGUAUACCUUAGUGGCAGCUGAUUAACAGACUCUUCCCCAGAGCCAGCUGACAGGAAGCACAUCGGGGUAAAAGGGAAGAUGAAAACUUGGGUGCCUGGAGGAAGGGAACAAAUGCGAGCAGGAGCAUGAGCCAGAAUUGAUUUCGUGGCUUUCUUUCUCCUCUUCUGGGAUUUUGUGCCCUAUUGCCACAGAAACCCUGGGCCCCUUCCCCAGCUGUCAUGAAGGUGCCUGAGUGAUGGUCAGAGAGAUGACCGGAGGGGCCCACCCGGCCACCGCAGCAGCAGCAGCCAAGGCGGGACUAAGCCUCCACACCCCACAUCUCAGUCGUGGCCAGCCCGGGAUGCCUGCCUCUCCUGCCCUGUGGUGUUGCUGUCCUCAUAUGACCCUUCAGUCCCCCGACAUCUGGACAGGCUUUAGGGACCUGCUUGAGCAGAACAUGGUAGAAGUGAUGGACUGGGGCUUCUGAGGCUAAGCCAUAAGAAGCCUUGAGAAUUUCACCUGGCCCUCACUGUCUCUGGGAGCCCUGAGCCAUGAUAGAAGAAGUCCUUCCUAUAUUGAAUGUCCUUGAGACCUCCAGUACUGGAAAGGGCAUUUGUAGAUGCUCAGACCAACAGUCCAAACUGAGCCCAGUCUGCCAACUUGCCCUGCCAAGGUGUCAGAUGCAUAUGUGAAUGAGACCAUCCUAGACCUGCUGAUAGCCCAUCACCCGGCUGACUGCUACUGAGUAACCUCUGCCAACUUCACGCCGAACACAGAACUGCUGAUUUGAACUCUGCCUGAAUUUCUUGGCCCACAGAACAAUGAGAUAUAAUUAAAAGGCAAUGGUUCAAGCCA